CAUAGACGCGAAACCUAGUGAUCUAGGCCUGUCCAGGCUGAAGCUGAGGUAAGACUCAGUGGAGGGCCGAACUCACCGCCGUUGAAAAGUUGGGAGAUGAGAUAGGUCUAGGGGUGAAAAGCCAAUCGAACUAGGAGAUAGCUCGUUCUCUCCGAAAUGCAUUUAGGUGCAGCCUUGGCAUGAAGAUAUGCGGGGGUAGAGCUCUGUAUGGUCUAGGGGGCGUACUGCUUACCGAAAUCAAGCAAACUGCGAAUACCGCAUAUUAAUAGCCAGGAGUGAGUCCGUGGAUGACAAGGUCCGCGGACGAGAGGGGAACAGCCCAGACCGCCAGCUAAGGUCCCUAAUUAUGUCUAAGUGGGAAAGGAGGUGGAUAUUCACAGACAACCAGGAGGUUGGCUUAGAAGCAGCCAUGCCUUGAAAGAGUGCGUAAUAGCUCACUGGUCGAGAGUAUCUGCGCCGAAGAUGUAACGGGGCUAAGACAUAAACCGAAGCUGCGGAGGCGUGCUUGCACGCCUGGUAGGAGAGCGUUCUGUAGGCCGUUGAAGGAAUGCCGCAAGGCCAUUCUGGAGGUAUCAGAAGUGAGAAUGCAGGAAUGAGUAGCGAGAAGGCGGGCGAGAAUCCCGCCGGCCGGAAGUCCAAGGUUUCCAGGGGAAGGUUUGUCCGCCCUGGGGGAGUCGGGACCUAAGCAUAAGCAAAAAUGUGAUGGCGAAUGGAAAACAGGUUAAUAUUCCUGUACCGCUGUUAUCGCCUGAGAGACGGAGUGACGCAGGAAGGUAUGCGGGAAGGCUGACGGAAUAGCCUUUCUAAGGGCGUAGCAUGGGCAUGCAGGAAAAUCCGCAUGCCUAAAUGUGAGACCUGACGGGUAAGUGCAUCUUGCAUAAGCCGCAGAUCCUACACUGCCGAGAAAAACUUCUAUCGAUGAGAACCAGCGCCCGUACUGUAAACCGACACAGGUGGACAGAGUGAGAAACUUAAGGCCGACAGGAUAACUCUAGCUAAGGAACUCUGCAAAAUGGCCCCGUAACUUCGGGAGAAGGGGUGCCUGACAUACCUGAAGGGAGAGACGCCCUGAGGGGAAACAGGCCGCAGUGAAGAGUCCCAAGCAACUGUUUACCAAAAACACAGGUCUAUGCUAAGCUGAAAGGCGACGUAUAUGGGCUGACACCUGCCCAGUGCCGGAAGGUUAAGAGGAGGGUUGAGAGACUCAAAUUGAAGCCCCGGUGAACGGCGGCCGUAACUAUAACGGUCCUAAGGUAGCGAAAUUCCUUGUCGGGUAAGUUCCGACCUGCACGAAUGGUGAAAUGAUUUGGGAGCUGUCUUGGCUGGAGACCUGGUGAAGUUGUAAUGCCGGUGAAGAUACCGGCUACCUGCAGUAGGACGGAAAGACCCCGUGGAGCUUUACUGUAGUUUGGCAUUGGGUUCUGGCCGCAUGUGUAUAGGAUAGUUGGGAGACUGUGAAGCCAAGGCGUCAGUCUUGGCAGAGUCGCCGUUGGAAUACCAACCAUAUGCCGUCGGAAUUCUAAUCUGGAAACGGAGACAGUGCUAGAUGGGCAGUUUGACUGGGGCGGUCGCCUCCCAAAGAGUAACGGAGGCGUUCAAAGGUUCCCUCAGGCUGGAUGGAAAUCAGCCUAAGAGUGCAAACGCAUAAGGGAGCUUGACUGCAAGACUGACGGGUCGAGCAGGCACGAAAGUGGGAGUUAGUGAUCCGGCGGUUCCGAAUGGAAGGACCGUCGCUCAACGGAUAAAAGCUACCCCGGGGAUAACAGGCUGAUACUUCCCAAGAGUCCAUAUCGACGGAAGUGUUUGGCACCUCGAUGUCGGCUCGUCUCAUCCUGGGGCUGGAGAAGGUCCCAAGGGUUGGGCUGUUCGCCCAUUAAAGAGGCACGCGAGCUGGGUUCAGAACGUCGUGAGACAGUUCGGUCCCUAUCCACUGCAGGCGCUUGAGCACUGAAAAGAUCUGACCUUAGUACGAGAGGACCGGGUUGGACAGACCUCUGAUGUAUCAG
rnacentral:rRNA from 1 species